rnacentral:misc_RNA from 1 species
UUAGUUAAUUUUAUUUCCAGAUAAAUGGUGCUGUUCCUGACAUAUCAAUGCUCAGUGACUGUCUUGGCAAUGUCAGGGUGGAUACAAACGGCGAAAACCAUUCAGAUUCCAAUCACAGAUCAGAAACUCGAUUGGAGGGCGCGAAGAGAUGUGUUGGUCAAGGACUACAACAACAAUCUAACGCAGGUGAUCUAAUAUUUGACAACGAACUAUUCCAGUCGAAAAAACGAUUUGAUGAUCUGAUAGCACGUCAAUCUGAGACAUAUGGCGAUUCUAGCCCCCCUAGUGUACACGUAUAUGAUAAUCGUAAUAUUGAAAGCAGGGACUUGAGACAGAAAUCGCCGGUUCAGAAUGAUUCAGAUUUCGAUAGAGAAUGCAUAGACUCGUAUCAAAAAUGGCGCGCCAAGAAUACCGAGCUUUUCGCUACUCCCGAAAGUGCACUGCAUAAUGUUCCCGAACAGAAAAUUAUUCAUAAAAUGAUUAUCAAUAACCAUGACGUUAGGAAAGAUUUCAAAUCAGUGACCGAUCACUUUGAAAGCCCUAAGAAAUCUACACUUGAUAAGUAUUACGAAUACUUCAAAAGAGACCAACCCUCUCAUUCUAAGCAUUAUGACACUGGGGUUUGUAGUGAGGGUAAAGAUGUUGCUGAAUAUGGUGAAAAAAGUGUCUCACAUAACCCAGUUCGUCAUCAAGUCAUCUCAAGCAGAGAAUCUUGCUUUUCUAAUGACCCCAAAUUUCGUAUUUCAGAGGAACUGGAGUAUACAAAAUAUCAUGACUAUCAUAAGAGCAAACCGGUUCCGUACAGGAAUCGAUAUGAGAGUGAGGACUUUAUUCUUGAGAAGGGUUACCAUCAUGGUGAAAGAUUGGGACAUGGCUAUGACGGUUCAUGUUGUGAUUCUCCUAGAUGUAAGCAACAGAGGUAUCGGCUAGAUGAAGACUAUGAAUCGCGUGUUCAUGAAGAUCCAUUGUCUAGGCGCAGAAGACAUCUUGAAGAGGAAGAGGAAUUGAGGCAAUGCAUUCGUAAUCGACCACAUGACGAUUUCCAUAGAUCGAAAAAAGAUGGUUGCUCUAAAAAUUCAGGAUCUGUAAAGAAAUCUAAGAAGUCGCCUGUGCUAAAAAGUAAAGGAGAAAACAGAAAUCCUUGUUCCUGUCCUGAAUGUGAUGAGCUGAAUGACUGUGAUAUUGAAGAGAGUCACUGUGAUUUAGUAAAAUAUAAGAAAGGUAAAAAUGCUAGUCAACGUUUUAGAAAGGGAGUCGAUGAAAGUGAUUCAUCAUUGGAUUGUUUCCCUAAGCGUUCUUGUAUAAACUCGCGUAAAAGAAAUUCAGUGUCUUUUGAAGAUUUAUGUCGAUUUGUGAAGCUGCAAAACGAACAGAUCAUGUUGAUUCAGAAGCAAGUCGAAAACAUCGGACAGAAAGUUGACGUGAUCGCCCAAAAAGUAGUCAAAUUAGAGCUUCAAAAUAAGUUACCAGUGUCCAAUAGAAGCGGUGAUAGAAGAAAAUCCGUUGAUAACAUGGAGAAAUGUGGCUGUAACUGCGAAAAGGAGAAGAAUAAAGCUCAGAGUUUCAAGCUGUCUGUGGUCAAAGAAAAUUCGCAAUUAGAGUGUCUGCAAGCAGUAGAGAACCAUAAUGGGGUCUCCAUUGGAGUCAUGACAAGCUGCGUUGAAAUUAUGCAAAAAGCUCAGAUUGAACAGAAAAAUGUGUGCCAAAAGAAGAAAACUCGUAGAGAGAAUCAUGAUGAUAAUUCUGAUAACGAGCAGCCGAAACAUCGUUCUAAGAAAAAUGAUAAGAAGAAAAAUAAGAAACACUUGAAGGAAUCAACAAGAAGCCCCACUACAGUGAACAGGAAACAACAAAAAGAGGUCUCGGCAAUGUCAGAUUCAUUCAAUUUGAACGAGGGAGAGUUGCAAGUAUUUCGGGAGCCAACUCCAUCUCCUGAGCCUUCCAUCCACAUCGAUAUUGAGGAUUUCAGUAGCUCCUCAUCUUCGUCAGGAGCCUCAUCAGAUGAAGAAAGUGAAGGAAAUGCAAACGGCAAUUCGUGGGAUACUAAUACUGACUCUGAUGAUGUCAAGAUGGGAUGGACCCUUUAUAAUAACAUUGUGGGGCAAGUGAAUAACAUCUUACAAAAUCCUCCACCUUCUAAUGAGAAUCCCCAGCAGCUGGCUGUUCCAAGCCCAGAGGAUGUCAGGAGGGCAACUCUAGAGCAACUGAGAUUGUUGGGUGUGAACUUGGGUGAAGUGGAUAACACGAUUUCAAAAAAGUAAAGUUACAUUCAACCAACAGCUUUAUCCGAGGGAAGAAAUUGCAAAAGAAGACAGUGAUCCCGUGAUGCACUUGAAUGCGCUUGCUAAAAUGUAUCUCCAGCAAAAGGAAUUUCAUAAAGGUACAAGUAGAAAGGAAUUGGCAGACAACUUGAGGCCAGGAAAUACCAAUUUAUCUCAUGCGACGUUGUGCUAUCUGGAGAAAUAUAAAAUCAAGCCUGGAUCAGCCAACAGAGAAAAUCGGUUCGAUGCUGAAGCCAAUGGACCAAUUGUGACAGACAUUCCUAAACCACAACCUCGUCGCUUGCAACAGCACCAUAAUAAUCAUCAUCAGCAGCAACAGCAGCAGCUGCAACACCACUAUCCCAUCUCCAGAAUUCUCGACAUAACCGAAUUAAAACAGCAGCCCAAACUAUUGUAAUAAUUUAACCAUCAAUGUAUGACAAUGUACAAAAUAGUACUACAAAUUAAUAAACUUUUCAUUGUUAAAACAACUUAUUUCAAUAAUAAAAUGAUGAAUUGUGUAAUUAUUAUUAACUAAUAAAACUAUUUGAAUAGGGCUA